rnacentral:rRNA from 1 species
GACGAACGAUGGCGGCGUGCUUAACACAUGCAAGUCGAACGGAAAGGCCCUGCUUUUGUGGGGUGCUCGAGUGGCGAACGGGUGAGUAACACGUGAGUAACCUGCCCUUGACUUUGGGAUAACUUCAGGAAACUGGGGCUAAUACCGGAUAGGAGCUCCUGCUGCAUGGUGGGGGUUGGAAAGUUUCGGCGGUUGGGGAUGGACUCGCGGCUUAUCAGCUUGUUGGUGGGGUAGUGGCUUACCAAGGCUUUGACGGGUAGCCGGCCUGAGAGGGUGACCGGCCACAUUGGGACUGAGAUACGGCCCAGACUCCUACGGGAGGCAGCAGUGGGGAAUAUUGCACAAUGGGCAGAAGCCUGAUGCAGCAACGCCGCGUGCGGGAUGACGGCCUUCGGGUUGUAAACCGCUUUCGCCUGUGACGAAGCGUGAGUGACGGUAAUGGGUAAAGAAGCACCGGCUAACUACGUG